rnacentral:piRNA from 1 species
UACAAUGGCCUCUUUAGACCCAGCUCCUGCCU